rnacentral:rRNA from 1 species
GGGUCAGUAGGUUGGUCGUGCCACCGGUACGUACUGGUCUCACUGAUUCCUCCUUCCUGAAGAACCGUAAUGCCAUUAAUUUGGUGUUGCGGGGAAACAGGACUGUUACUUUGAAAAAAUUAGAGUGUUUAAAGCAAGCUAACGCUUGAAUACAUUGGCAUGGAAUAAUGAAAUAGGACGAUCGAUCCUAUUUUGUUGGUUUCUAGGAUUGACGCA